rnacentral:rRNA from 1 species
GACGAACGCUGGCGGCGUGCUUAAUACAUGCAAGUCGAACGAGGUUGAGUCAGUGGCAACACUGACGACUGCCUAGUGGCGAACGGGUGAGUAACACGUGAGGAACCUGCCCCGAAGACCGGGAUAACCCUCCGAAAGGAGAGCUAAUACCGGAUACCCCCACCGAACCGCAUGGCUCGGUGAGGAAAUGGAUUCCGCUUCGGGAGGGUCUCGCGGCCUAUCAGCUUGUUGGUGGGGUAACGGCCCACCAAGGCAUCGACGGGUAGCUGGUCUGAGAGGACGAUCAGCCACACUGGGACUGAGACACGGCCCAGACUCCUACGGGAGGCAGCAGUAGGGAAUCUUGCGCAAUGGGCGAAAGCCUGACG